rnacentral:rRNA from 1 species
UAAGCGGAGGAAAAGAAACUAACAAGGAUUUCUUUAGUACCGGCGAGCGAACUGGAAAAGGCCCAGCUUGGAAAUCAGGGCACCAUGUGUCUUGAAUUGUAGUCUGUAAAAGCAUCCUCUGUAGCGGACCGAGCCUAGGUUCUUUGGAAGAAGACGCCGGAGAGGGUGAGAGCCCCGUCCGGCUUGGACCCUGCUACUCCACGAGGUGCUGUUGUCGAGUCGGGUUGUUUGGGAAUGCAGCCUCAAUUUGGUGGUAAAUCCCAUCUAAGGCUAAAUACUGGCAAGAGACCGAUAGCGAACAAGUACCGCGAGGGAAAGAUGAAAAGGACUUUGAAAAGAGAGUUAAAAAGUGCUUGAAAUUGCUGGGGGGGAAGCGAAUGGAUGCCUUGAGUGUGUUCAAGCUGUGGUCAAACGGCGGUGAGCUGGUUUUCCAAGCAGCUUGAAUGCUGGCCAGCGUUGGCAAUGGAAGCAGGACAAAGGGUUGGCUCUGCCAACUAAUGCUGCUGCCAUUGCUGAGGCUUUAAGGGGUGCGUUGCUCUGCGACGGGCUUGAUGGUGCCUGCAUCCCUUGGAUGCUGGUGUUUGGGCUCUUCAUUCGACCCGUCUUGAAACACGGACCAAGGAGUCUAACAUGUAUGCGAGUUGGUGGGUGUAAAACCCAGGGAGGCAAAAGGAAACUAAGUCGUGGGAUCCCUCGCGGGUGCACCACGGACCGACCAUGAUCUUCUGUGAAAGGUUUGAGUGUUAGCAUAUCUGCUGGGACCCGAAAGAUGGUGAACUAUGCCUGAGCAGGGCGAAGCCAGAGGAAACUCUGGUGGAGGCUCGUAGCGAUACUGACGUGCAAAUCGUUCGUCAGACUUGGGUAUAGGGGCGAAAGACUAAUCGAACCUUCUAGUAGCUGGUUCCCUCCGAAGUUUCCCUCAGGAUAGCUGGAGUUCUUUUUGAGUUUUAUCGGGUAAAGCGAAUGAUUAGAGGCAUUGGGGGUAAAACACCCUCGACCUAUUCUCAAACUUUAAAUAGGUAAGAGGCCAAGGUUGCUCCGUUGAACCUUGGC